rnacentral:tRNA from 1 species
GGAGAGAUGCCGGAGUGGUUGAACGGGGCGGUCUCGAAAACCGUUGUGCGGUGUAAGCCGUACCCAGGGUUCGAAUCCCUGUCUCUCCG